AAUAAAUAUGUGAUGAAUGACAUAGAAAGCACAUUUUUAUAAACAUAAACAAAAGUAUCAAGAUUUAUUUUUUUAGUUUUGUACUUUUUUAGUGUAUAAAGUGGGCCAAUCUGAUACACUAAUAAAAGUACCACUGUGAUAACAUGCUGCCUUUGAACAUGUACUGUGGUAUAAUCUCUUAAAUUGUACGGACUGACGGUUUUUUAUUUAAUUUGUUUGUUUGUAGUUCACGCGUCCUGUGUGAAUGUCUCGGCUCUCCUCUUUAGACCCUGCCCCCUCUUUCCUAUUGGUUAGACAGGAGAUGUUCUGUUUUUGACAAGAGAGGGUAAAGACCAUAGGUCACGACUCAUGGGUAACUGAAACCAUUUGUUAUUUCGUGAGUGAUUCGUAAAGAUUUACUGGAUCAGUCCAACGUGUCACCUUUUCCAGGAAUGGAUGGGCUUGGACAUGGGUCGUGUCCUCUGGUGGUGUUCGCCAUCUGUUUUCGUAUGUUCUGGGCCAUCCUGUGACCAGGCCUUCAUGGGAGACAGCAUCACUAUCUUCUACUCAGAUGAGUUGGGAGAGUAUCCUUACUAUGCUAUUGGCGGUGAACCAGUGUAAGGAGGUGUUCCUCAAAACGCCAGCCUGCACCAGCACCUCUGGAAGGCCGAUGACAACCUGAGGACUGACAUCCCAGAUAUGGGAUUUCACGGGCUUGCUGUCAUCGACUGGGAAAAGUGAAGGCCGCUGUGGGAACGUAAGGAAGUCUACUGGAAUGGCUCCAGGGCUUUAGUGAAAGCCAAACAUCCUACUCGGAAGCCGCCGGAUCAGAUAGAAAAGGAAGUGGUGAGGGGUUAAUUCUAGGAUGCUUCAUGGGCUUCAUGGAGGAGAUGUUAAAACUGGGCCGUAGAGAGCGUCCUGGAGGGUUAUGGGGGUUUUAUGGCUUCCCCUGCUGCUAUAAUUAUCAGUACAAGAUGUAUACAGCCGUGAUUCCCAUUCACAUCCAUUAUAAGACUGACAGACUGCAACGGUUUGAGUUAAAAAUCUCAGUUUGUGUUCUACUGAAGAAACAAAGUCGUCAACUACAUCUUGGAUGCCCUGGGGGUAAGCAGAUAAACAUCAAAUUUUCAUGUUUUGGGUGA
ensembl:lncRNA